GUUUUUAAUUGCACUAUAAAGAUUAUGUGACUAUAUUAAUAUAUAAAUAUCUGUGUGGUUUGGAUUUCUAUCUUUAAAAUCAGUUGCAUUACUAACAAAUACAGUAAAAAGAUAAUCUCAUUCCAGACUGGCCUUUAAAUUUGGCUCAUCUUUUUAAAAGGUAUAAUAAAUAUCCUGCUGUCAUAAAUAUUUGAGUGUUUAAAUUGAGACAAAUUUCUAUCAACUAGUCUAUGAUUGUGCAUAUAUAACAAAAACUAUCUUAAUCCACAAAUGAUAGCCAUAAAAAAUGCCAUUUUUAUUAAGUGAUCAGUUGAAUAGUAAAAUCCUAAAACUUCUAUAUUAAUUGUAAAUAUAUAUGUAAAAUAUAAGUAUAUGUGACUUUUAUCAUAUAAGUUAAGUUCAAGGACCAUAAUUCAUGCUUGUUAUAGUGUGUAAAAUAUCAGAACCUUUCCCAGUUUGCAACUAGUAGACAUAAAUUUACUAUAAUCAAAAUAGUUGUAUGAAAUAAUUGGUAAUUAUAACUGAUCUAAAAAAUAUUCAAAACAAAUGUUUGGUUCAGUUCUUUACUAAAAAAGACUAUUCAUUAUCUGUCAACAACAAGGAUCUGUUGACAAUACCAUCAGGACAAAUUAUUAG
rnacentral:lncRNA from 1 species